GAGUUUGAUCUUGGCUCAGAUUGAACGCUGGCGGCAUGCCUUACACAUGCAAGUCGAACGGCAGCACGGGAGCUUGCUCCUGGUGGCGAGUGGCGAACGGGUGAGUAAUGCAUCGGAACGUAUCCUGGAGUGGGGGAUAACGUAGCGAAAGUUACGCUAAUACCGCAUAUUCUGUGGGCAGGAAAGCGGGGGACCUUCGGGCCUCGCGCUCUUGGAGCGGCCGAUGUCGGAUUAGCUAGUUGGUGAGGUAAAGGCUCACCAAGGCGACGAUCCGUAGCAGGUCUGAGAGGAUGAUCUGCCACACUGGAACUGAGACACGGUCCAGACUCCUACGGGAGGCAGCAGUGGGGAAUUUUGGACAAUGGGGGCAACCCUGAUCCAGCCAUGCCGCGUGAGUGAAGAAGGCC
rnacentral:rRNA from 1 species